rnacentral:lncRNA from 1 species
GCCCCAGCUCACAUUGUGUCUGGAACCGGUGAGUUCUUGGUCUCGCUGACUUCAAGAAUGAAGCUACAGACCCUCUCGUUUUUCCAGAAAGCUAAAGUUCCUAAAAGACGGUCUGAGCAUAAUGUCAAGGGUCCUGAUGAAAUGGCUAUGACAGGCAAUAUAUCUGCAUUAGUGGAAUGCCUAUGUGGAGUUGCCUGCUUAAGAACACCCUGAAGGUGGGUCGAUACUAUUAGCACCAAUGCUUCCCUGUCAUAACAUCCUACUUAAACAAUCAAUAGACAAAUAAGAAGACCUUAAUGAUUUAACAUUUUAUUAACAAAUUGCAGUGGCUGCUUGCAAGAUGACUUUGAACUAUAGUUGGAAAUUUGAAGCAGGUGAUUUAGGCCACUUUGCUUUUUGG